rnacentral:rRNA from 1 species
UACGUAGGGUGCAAGCGUUAAUCGGAAUUACUGGGCGUAAAGCGUGCGCAGGCGGUUGUGCAAGACAGAUGUGAAAUCCCCGGGCUCAACCUGGGAAUUGCAUUUGUGACUGCACGGCUAGAGUGUGUCAGAGGGGGGGUAGAAUUCCACGUGUAGCAGUGAAAUGCGUAGAGAUGUGGAGGAAUACCGAUGGCGAAGGCAGCCCCCUGGGAUAACACUGACGCUCAUGCACGAAAGCGUGGGGGAGCAAACAGG